UACGUAGGGGGCGAGCGUUGUCCGGAAUCAUUGGGCGUAAAGCGCGUGUAGGCGGCUCGUUAAGUCCGGUGUGAAACCUUGGGGCUCAACCCCAAGCCUGCACUGGAUACUGACGAGCUCGAGUCCGGGAGGGGAGAGCGGAAUUCCUAGUGUAGCGGUGAAAUGCGCAGAUAUUAGGAAGAACACCCGUGGCUAAGGCGGCUCUCUAGUACGGUACUGACGCUGAGACGCGAAAGCGUGGGGAGCGAACAGG
rnacentral:rRNA from 1 species